GCAUCCUCUCCAGGUGCCGGCAGCGCUUCUGAACCUAAAAGGAGGCAGAAGGAGUGCCCAGCUCCUGCACGUGCAGCAUGGUCAGAUACAGCCUGGACAGGAGCAUUCACACAGAGCCAGACCACACCGCUUACCGCAUCGAUCCUGCGGACAAGGACGGGCCUGACCUCCAGCUCCAGCAGCCAGUCGGCCUCCAGGAUGCCGCGGUGGUACUCCUCCAGCUCCAGGUGCUUCUGCAGCUCCUCCAUCAGGGCAGCUGGAGCAGCAGUGCCCAGUUGCGGCGGUGGGCGAAGAGGAGCGCGGCCAGGUGUGGGAUGGAGGCCGGGGAGAGCGGCUCCUCAUGCACAUACAGAUGCUCACACAGUGGGAACACCACCCUUGUGUCAAACCUCUCCUUCGUGGCCCGCAGGUGCUGCAGGGCAGAGUAGAGAGCCUCCGUGGGGGCAGAGGGCUGGCAACUGGGAUCAGAGCUCAUCUUGAGGGCCAGAGCCACGGCAAUACACCAUGGAGGGGGAGCAGCUGGGUGCCUGUGCCCCAGCCCAGCCCUGGG
ensembl:lncRNA